rnacentral:rRNA from 1 species
GGCGAACGCUGGCGGCGUGCUUAACACAUGCAAGUCGAACGGAAAGGCCCUGCUUUUGUGGGGUGCUCGAGUGGUGAACGGGUGAGUAACACGUGAGUAACCUGCCCUUGACUUUGGGAUAACUUCAGGAAACUGGGGCUAAUACCGGAUAGGAGCUCCUGCUGCAUGGUGGGGGUUGGAAAGUUUCGGCGGUUGGGGAUGGACUCGCGGCUUAUCAGCUUGUUGGUGGGGUAGUGGCUUACCAAGGCUUUGACGGGUAGCCGGCCUGAGAGGGUGACCGGCCACAUUGGGACUGAGAUACGGCCCAGACUCCUACGGGAGGCAGCAGUGGGGAAUAUUGCACAAUGGGCGGAAGCCUGAUGCAGCAACGCCGCGUGCGGGAUGACGGCCUUCGGGUUGUAAACCGCUUUCGCCUGUGACGAAGCGUGAGUGACGGUAAUGGGUAAAGAAGCACCGGCUAACUACGUG